rnacentral:lncRNA from 1 species
CCUGUCCUCGCCCCGGCCCCGCUCCUCUCCGGCGCGGACAAAAAAAAAACCCAAAACAACUUGCUGGGGGGAUGCGUGGGUGCUCACGACCCCCCCUCGCCCCUUACCUCCUCCGCGGCGGCGCCCGGGGAGCCGCGGGCACGCCGCCGCCGCGGGCAGGGAUGACCUUGCGGAGAAAUUCAUCAUCCGGGCAGGAAAACAAGCCCUUCCUCGGGGUGUGCAGCCGCGGGAGGAGGGAGGGCGGAGGGAAGAAGGGAGGGAGGACUCCGCUGGGGUGGGCCUCCCCGCCGCGGGAGGAGGCGAUUCGUGCCGGUUACGGCGAGGAGGCAGCGGGAGGCUCGGGCAGCCCGGCCCAGCCCCACCGUGCGGAGCGGAGCGGGCGGCGGCGGGAAGAGGNNNNNNNNNNNNNNNNNNNNNNNGGGGAAGAGGGGGGGGGGGGGGGGAGCGCCCGGUCCGGGGCUGGGCUCCCCCCGGCGGCCGCAGGGAGAGCGGGGCAGCUCCCGGGGGUCGGCGGGGAGGGCACCGGGCAGCUCCUGGAGGGGUGAGGGGGGUGUAGAGGGAAGGGUACCCCCCUCCCCGUCGUCGCUUAGCCCCCACACCCCGCCUUCCAGCCCUCCCGAAGGCGGGGGGCGCGGGCAGGUACCUGCAUCCAGGGAGGCGUUUCCAGCUCACGCCGACCCCUCCUCAGGCCUCGCCUGGGCGCUGGAGGCUCCUGCCUUCCAUCAGGUGCGUGGGGAUGAGCAGGGGGGUCCCUGGGACCCUCCGCAGCUCCCCCCCCCCCAGCCCCGGGACACCCCCGCGGUCCGCCAGGGCUCGCUCGGCGUUGCCUCCUCUGCCAGCCCCUUCCUCACAGCUCCUGAGGCAAAACCACACGCUGAGCCCCUUCAGGGCAGAAAGAAGAGCCAGAACCCGCGCAUCCAAAAUCCACUAAUUCCGUCCACCUUCGCUAGUCCCGCGUGUGGCAGGCGGGGAGGGGUGCCCGCAGAUAGCUAUCCGGGAGCCUAAUGAGCCGUUCGCUCGAGGAGCUGUUCUAAUUUGCAUGUGGGAUUGCAGCGCGUGCAAAUGCCGACCAGCCCUCGUCAGGCUUUCGGUCCGGAUUGUUGUUUUUGAUCGGGAAAUUCGGCUUCCUGCCUGAAGCGCUGCCCUCUCUGCCUGCAGCGAGCCAUCAAAAAAUAGAUCCAAGCAAAAAUAUUCUCAGCAAAGGACAUUUUGGGUUAGGACUCAGAACUGACUGGAAAUCUUUGCUCUCAUUUCGGUUUAUUCCCACCGCUGUGGAAUUUUAUCUCUCUCUGCUGCGAUCAGAACAGGAAAUGGUUCUGCAGUGCCCAGAGAUUCAAGUCAAGCACGCGUUUUCAACUGGAAAGAUUGUUACUCUUUUACCUUCCUUUAUGGAUAAACAGGAGCAGGAUUUCCAAACUAUAGGACAAGCUGCGAGGAGAACUCUGUUGC